UACGUAGGUGGCAAGCGUUAUCCGGAUUUACUGGGUGUAAAGGGCGUGUAGGCGGGAGUGCAAGUCAGAUGUGAAAACCACGGGCUCAACCUGUGGCCUGCAUUUGAAACUGUACUUCUUGAGUACUGGAGAGGCAGACGGAAUUCCUAGUGUAGCGGUGAAAUGCGUAGAUAUUAGGAGGAACACCAGAGGCGAAGGCGGUCUGCUGGACAGCAACUGACGCUGAGGCGCGAAAGCGUGGGAGCAAACAGG
rnacentral:rRNA from 1 species